UAGUACGACUACAACACGGCCGUCUACUGAAUCUUCUUCAGUCAUACCGCCAGUAGAUCCCACAUCUGCUCGUCCCUAUAUUCCCUGCUGGUUGUACUGGUGGGAACCCUGCUGGGACCCUCACCACCAUUGAGCCGUGAGGCAGCAACCCACAUGCAUCGUACUCAGGGAUUUUGUCAACUUGCUAGAUUUGAUUAAAUUAUUUUUCUUGUA